CGUGUCGUGAGAUGUUGGGUUAAGUCCGUAACGAGCGCAACCCUUGUCCUUAGUUACCAGCACGUUAUGGUGGGCACUCUAAGGAGACUGCCGGUGACAAACCCGGAGGAAGGUGGGGAUGACGUCAAGUCAUCAUGGCCCUUACGGCCUGGGCUACACACGUGCUACAAUGGUCGGUACAAAGGGUUGCCAAGCCGCGAGGUGGAGCUAAUCCCAUAAAACCGAUCGUAGUCCGGAUCGCAGUCUGCAACUCGACUGCGUGAAGUCGGAAUCGCUAGUAAUCGUGAAUCGGAAUGUCACGGUGAAUACGUUCCCGGGCCUU
rnacentral:rRNA from 1 species